UUGAAGAGUUCAGAAACAAGAUAUGUGCAUGAGCUCACUGUCAUUUCUCCUCACUUCUGCACUGGGAUAGCUUGAAAAGCCAAGGAGAUGUAGAGGUAAUAGCAGAAUUUAACAGUGCCGUGCUGAUUCGAGACUUGAAAGUGUGAGGGGGAAGUAAUAAGCUUACCUUUUCCUUUUGUCACUCAGCGAAUUCACAGAGUUGACCCUGGAGAGAACAAUGUUCAUGUGAGCACCGGGGCAUUACAGCAAAUAGUUCCACUGCCUCAACCACAAACUAAUUAAAAAACCUCUGAUACUCCCCAACCUCUUCCUCUGUUUCAUUUCCUCUCCAGGCAGGACUUCAGUUCAAAUUUGACAUCCUUUGGGGACUUUGCAAUGAAUAAGACUAUUUCAGUUUUUCUAGAGCUUUCUUAAGCUUUCCUUAGAGAAACUACCCAAGUAUUCAGCAAUAUGUGUGCACUAAGACCUAAAAGCUGAAUGCAUCUGGCAAAAGAGAGGGCUGAGAGAAAACCUGGAACGAGGAGUUAAAAUUCAUUCUGUUUCUCAUCCAGGAGCUGCUACACCUAGAGUGAUGCUACUGAGAAGAGCAGAUAUAGGACAGCCAAGUGCUGGAGGAGGUUCCCAUGCAACACUUAAGGAUGUACCAGCCCUGCUGUUAUGGGUCAUGGGAGUGUGUGCUGCAAGGGCAGUUCCUUGGGAAUUUGCCACCUUGAAAAAUAAGCUUGGGAACUCAGUCACCUCCAGCUCCUUUCACUGGGAAUCCCUCCAGGUGCGUGUUUAUGUUUAAAUAAACUACCAGCGGAAUGGAUAAUUAGUUCUAGAGAGAUGGGUACAUAUGAAUUUAAAAAGGUCAUUUUGUGUUCCAGACAACUUGCUAAUGAGAAGUGGUAUUCUGCUGAUGGGCAAAAGUUAUUUUUUCCCUGUUUACAAGAUAAUUGAACAUCUUUAAGUGGAGUCAAGUCUUGGUAGCUUGUCUGUGUGCUUGUUUUUAAGUGGAAAAACUCUAGAACUCUGUAGGGAAAUCAAACAUCUCUAUCAUCAAAUUGAAAAUGUGAAUGUUCUCAUCCUAAAGUGUGUGUGCCAAAUUUUCUCUCGCCUAAGAAUCAGCUGAGGAUGGAGGGAGAAAAAAAAUAUACCAAAUAGGCACAAACAUGUCCUGAAUCAUAAAUCUCCUGUACAUGCCAUUCCUGACUGGUUUCUGGAGCCUUCAGACACAGAAGUCAGUGCCAGACCUGAAAAUGCUCACAUGCUACUUAGAGGAGUGCAACCCUGCUCCUCACCCAGGCUGAGAUGGCUCCCCUCGUGCAGAAGGCAACCUGACAGACUUGCUCUUUCCACUGUGUCAAGAAAUGAGAUGAACUCUUGGAAAAUGCAGCGUGAGGAGUACCUUUCUGAGCUUCUGAUUACUGAUGUGGGUGGUGCGAGGCAGAACCUUACAGGGUGAGUUCGUCUUCUUAAUACACAUAUAAAACCACGUAGAGAAGAAUCAAGAU
rnacentral:lncRNA from 1 species